AACGCUAGCUACAGGCUUAACACAUGCAAGUCGAGGGGCAGCGGGAAUGUUAGCAAUAACAUUUGCCGGCGACCGGCGCACGGGUGAGUAACACGUAUGCAACCUGCCCGUAGCAGGGGGAUAAGCGGAAGAAAUUCCGUCUAAUACCGCGUAAUAUCCUUUAGGGGCAUCCCUUUGGGAUUAAAGAAAUUCGGCUACGGAUGGGCAUGCGGCGCAUUAGCUAGUUGGCGGGGUAACGGCCCACCAAGGCGACGAUGCGUAGGGGUUCUGAGAGGAAGGUCCCCCACACUGGUACUGAGACACGGACCAGACUCCUACGGGAGGCAGCAGUGAGGAAUAUUGGUCAAUGGGCGAGAGCCUGAACCAGCCAAGUCGCGUGAGGGAAGACGGUCCUAUGGAUUGUAAACCUCUUUUGUCGGGGAGCAACGAGGCCACGCGUGGCCGCAGUAAGAGUACCCGAAGAAAAAGCAUCGGCUAACUCCGUGCCAGCAGCCGCGGUAAUACGGAGGAUGCGAGCGUUAUCCGGAUUUAUUGGGUUUAAAGGGUGCGUAGGCGGAAGGUUAAGUCAGUGGUCAAACUGCGGAGCUCAACUCCGUAUCGCCAUUGAAACUGGUCUUCUUGAGUGAGUGAGAAGUAUGCGGAAUGCGUGGUGUAGCGGUGAAAUGCAUAGAUAUCACGCAGAACUCCGAUUGCGAAGGCAGCAUACCGGCACUCAACUGACGCUGAAGCACGAAAGCGUGGGUAUCGAACAGGAUUAGAUACCCUGGUAGUCCACGCAGUAAACGAUGAAUACUAAUUGUCCGGCCGGAAUGACGGCUGGGUGAUACAGCGAAAGCGUUAAGUAUUCCACCUGGGGAGUACGCCGGCAACGGUGAAACUCAAAGGAAUUGACGGGGGCCCGCACAAGCGGAGGAACAUGUGGUUUAAUUCGAUGAUACGCGAGGAACCUUACCCGGGCUCAAACGACAGGGGAAUAUCUCCGAAAGGGGAUAGCCUUCAUGGCCGCUGUCGAGGUGCUGCAUGGUUGUCGUCAGCUCGUGCCGUGAGGUGUCGGCUUAAGUGC
rnacentral:rRNA from 1 species